rfam:Halomicronema hongdechloris C2206 genome.
UUGAGCCGGGUACGGUGAAAGUCGUAUGCACGGUUCUGAGGGGAGGGAGGAAGCCAUAUCUAAAACUUCCUCCUUUACCCGAC